GACGAACGCUGGCGGCGUGCUUAACACAUGCAAGUCGAACGGAAAGGCCCUGCUUUUGUGGGGUGCUCGAGUGGCGAACGGGUGAGUAACACGUGAGUAACCUGCCCUUGACUUUGGGAUAACUUCAGGAAACUGGGGCUAAUACCGGAUAGGAGCUCCUGCUGCAUGGUGGGGGUUGGAAAGUUUCGGCGGUUGGGGAUGGACUCGGGGCUUAUCAGCUUGUGGGUGGGGUAGUGGCUUACCAAGGCUUUGACGGGUAGCCGGCAUGGGAGGGUGACCGGCCACAAUGGGACUGAGAUACGGCCCAGAGUGCUACGGGAGGCAGCAGGGGGGAAUAUUGCACAAUGGGCGGAAGCCUGAUGCAGCAACGCCGCGUGCGGGAUGACGGCCUUCGGGUUGUAAACCGCUUUCGCCUGUGACGAAGCGUGAGUGACGGUAAUGGGUAAAGAAGCACCGGCUAACUACGUG
rnacentral:rRNA from 1 species